ACAGCAGUAGCCGCGGGAACACGAAGGGUGCAAGCGUUAAUCGGAAUUACUGGGCGUAAAGCGUGCGUAGGCGGUUUGUCAAGUCUGCUGUGAAAUCCCCGGGCUCAACCUGGGAAUGGCAGUGGAUACUGGCUCGCUAGAGUGUGUCAGAGGAUGGUGGAAUUCCCGGUGUAGCGGUGAAAUGCGUAGAGAUCGGGAGGAACAUCAGUGGCGAAGGCGGCCAUCUGGGACAACACUGACGCUGAGGCACGAAAGCGUGGGGAGCAAACAGGAUUAGAUACCCCUGUAGUCCCUGUCUCUUAUAA
rnacentral:rRNA from 1 species